AUGCAACUGACGAGUCCCAAAUAGGACGAAACGUGCGUCCUGGAU
rnacentral:hammerhead_ribozyme from 1 species